UCCUGGUUUAUACAUUAUGAUGAAUAGGGUAAUCAUGUGACUGCAUGAGACAUGUCUCCUUCUAACUUGUUACGCAGAAGGCAUGUUCCCAUCUGA
rnacentral:snoRNA from 1 species